rnacentral:ncRNA from 2 species
GAAUAUUGUGUAAGAAUUGGUGCCAAAUGAAAGUUUGGCUUAAAAGGGAAGUCGGUGAGAAUCCGACGCUGUCCCGCAACUGUAAAUCGGAGCAAAUCACAAAUGCCACUGGGGAACUGGGAAGGCUGUGAGGUGUGGAUGAGAAGCCAGGAGACCUGCCAAUAUCUAGUACACACC